GUUUUGGAAUUUUGUCUAUUAGCGUGGUGGCAUCAGAUCUUGUCAAGCCUCAUGUUUGAUAUAGGUUACAGUCUUGAUUGGAAAGAUAUAGCUUUAUCCUGAUCAAGGUCAGCUAAGCCGUGAAAUUCUGUACCAAUGGAUGAUAUCCAGCAUAUUGUCACAGUUGUGCAAAGUCGCUGCUUCCCUCACUGUUGUGUGAAGAGCUGGCGUAACUUAUUAUUGGGUUAUUGUUCUGGCUACUCUUCUGGUUUUCUGACUUCUGAUUUUUAAAGGAUAAGCACAGACUUACCUGACUGGCAUUGUCAGUGUCAUCCCAUACUGAGGAAGCAGCCACCAAGCUGGCUGAGUCAGGCAAUGCAGGGGGCACGCCCGUGGAGUGUGCCCCACAGCCCGCCUCUGAGAGCCGGGUGCUGCGCACCGAGGGGGCGCCACGAACCAGCGCCUGGCCCAGCGCCGCCCGGCCGGCCACCACGUCCAAGGCGUACACCAUGCCAGCCAGUGACGUGCGGCUGGACGGGACGGGCGAGGCACCCAACUAUAAUGACAGCUGGUCAGCUGACCUGGCUGCUGCCCUGGAGAAGGUCGACCAGGGCCGGAGCAGCGACGGUGCCUCCUCCGACGCCAAGCCCAAGGGGAAAAAGGGCAAGCGAGGCAAGACCGUGCUGCUUUCCGGAGGUCUCAGCUUUUGAGAAGGAGUUGAGGGCAUGGGGAAGCACAGAUCUCUGCACAUUGAGGGUGUUGGGAAGGCCUGCUCCAGUGCUGUCGACGGGACGUCGUUUGAGGCGAGCUGAAUGGAAGGUGUCUGAGACACGGGGAACCGGAUUCGUGGGAUUUUUGUACAAUACAAGGUGAAGUGACGCCGA